GAUGAACGCUGGCGGCGUGCCUAAUACAUGCAAGUCGAGCGAACAGACGAGGAGCUUGCUCCUCUGACGUUAGCGGCGGACGGGUGAGUAACACGUGGAUAACCUACCUAUAAGACUGGGAUAACUUCGGGAAACCGGAGCUAAUACCGGAUAAUAUAUUGAACCGCAUGGUUCAAUAGUGAAAGACGGUUUUGCUGUCACUUAUAGAUGGAUCCGCGCCGCAUUAGCUAGUUGGUAAGGUAACGGCUUACCAAGGCAACGAUGCGUAGCCGACCUGAGAGGGUGAUCGGCCACACUGGAACGGGGACACGGUCCGGACUCCUACGGGAGGCAGCAGUAGGGAAUCUUCCGCAAUGGGCGAAAGCCUGACGGAGCAACGCCGCGUGAGUGAUGAAGGUCUUCGGAUCGUAAAACUCUGUUAUUAGGGAAGAACAAAUGUGUAAGUAACUAUGCACGUCUUGACGGUACCUAAUCAGAAAGCCACGGCUAACUACGUG
rnacentral:rRNA from 1 species